rnacentral:rRNA from 1 species
UCGCAGCUACCAUGCAGUCGAGCGCACCCUUCGGGGCGAGCGGCGGACGGGUUAGUAACGCGUGGGAACGUACCCUUUUCUACGGAAUAGCCUCGGGAAACUGAGAGUAAUACCGUAUAAGCCCUUCGGGGGAAAGAUUUAUCGGUAAAGGAUCGGCCCGCGUUAGAUUAGAUAGUUGGUGGGGUAAUGGCCUACCAAGUCUACGAUCUAUAGCUGGUUUUAGAGGAUGAUCAGCAACACUGGGACUGAGACACGGCCCAGACUCCUACGGGAGGCAGCAGUGGGGAAUCUUAGACAAUGGGCGCAAGCCUGAUCUAGCCAUGCCGCGUGUGUGAUGAAGGCCUUAGGGUCGUAAAGCACUUUCGCCAGGGAUGAUAAUGACAGUACCUGGUAAAGAAACCCCGGCUAACUCCGUGCCAGCAGCCGCGGUAAUACGGAGGGGGUUAGCGUUGUUCGGAAUUACUGGGCGUAAAGCGUACGUAGGCGGAUCAGAAAGUAGGGGGUGAAAUCCCGAGGCUCAACCUCGGAACUGCCUCCUAAACUCCUGGUCUUGAGUUCGAGAGAGGUGAGUGGAAUUCCAAGUGUAGAGGUGAAAUUCGUAGAUAUUUGG